rnacentral:rRNA from 1 species
CAGUAGCCGCGGUAAUACGUAGGUGGCAAGCGUUGUCCGGAAUUAUUGGGCGUAAAGCGCGCGCAGGUGGUUUAAUAAGUCUGAUGUGAAAGCCCACGGCUCAACCGUGGAGGGUCAUUGGAAACUGUCAAACUUGAGUGCAGGAGAGAAAAGUGGAAUUCCUAGUGUAGCGGUGAAAUGCGUAGAGAUGUGGAGGAAUACCAGUGGCGAAGGCGACUCUCUGGUCUGUAACUGACGCUGAGGAGCGAAAGCGUGGGGAGCGAACAGGAUUAGAUACCCCGGUAGUCCCUGUCUCUUAUAC